GCCAGCAGCCAUAUCAUCCUGCAACUCACAACUGGCAACCCACUGAAGCUAAGCGGGUGUGAGCCUGGUCAGUACCUGGGAAAGACCUCCUGGGAAAAACUAUGGUUGCUGCUGGAA
rnacentral:rRNA from 1 species